rnacentral:tRNA from 1 species
GCGCCGCUAGCUCAGUUGGUUAGAGCAGCUGACUCUUAAUCAGCGGGUCCGGGGGGGUUCGAGUCCCUGGCGGCGCA